rnacentral:rRNA from 1 species
UACGGAGGAUGCGAGCGUUAUCCGGAUUUAUUGGGUUUAAAGGGUGCGCAGGCGGGGGAUUAAGUCGGCGGUGAAAUUUUGCAGCUCAACUGUAAAAGUGCCUUCGAAACUGGUUUCCUUGAGUGUAGAUGAAGUAGGCGGAAUUUGUGGUGUAGCGGUGAAAUGCAUAGAUAUCACGAGGAACUCCGAUUGCGCAGGCAGCUUACUAAGCCAUAACUGACGCUCAAGCACGAAGGCGUGGGGAUCAAACAGGAUUAGAUACCCGGGUA